ACGCUGUAUAAAACUUAAUAAUAUUAUUGUUAUUAUUCUAUUAUCACGCUGUGUUAACCGUGUGGAUUUGUUCAAAAAUAACUUCGCUGAAGCUCCAUUUAAAGUUUACGAAACGCGUCCGAUUCAGUGCCUUUUCCAUACUAUUCUGUUUGGACUUUGAAAUAUUUUAAUACAAUAUUAUUUAUCGUAUAGAUGAUUCCGGGCGAACGAAAAGUAAAAUUGUUAUUGUGCGAUAUUCUAUAAAUUUGUUAAACUGCAGUCCUCCGGCUACUUCGGAAGUACCUAAUUAUAGUUGUUUGAUGGACACAGCUGAAUACAAUAAUUAUCUAGUGGC